rnacentral:rRNA from 1 species
AUUGAACGCUGGCGGCAGGCCUAACACAUGCAAGUCGAGCGAGCGGCGGGCGGGUGAGUAAUGCCUGGGAAUUGCCCAGUCGAGGGGUAUACCAGUUGGAAACUACUUCUAAUCCCGCAUACGAUUGGAUUGCCCAGGUGGGGUGGGCUAGUUGGGUGGGUAAUGGCUCACCAAGGCGACGAUCCCGAGCUGGUCUGAGGGGAUGAUCAGCCAAACUGGAACUGAGACACGGUCCAGACUCCUACGGGAGGGAGCAGUGGGGAAUAUUGCACAAUGGGGGAAACCCUGAUGCAGCCAUGCCGCGGGUGUGAAGAAGGCCUUCGGGUUGUAAAGCACUUUCAGCGAGGAGGCGUUACUCGCAGAAGAAGCACCGGCUAACUCCGUGCCAGCAGCCGCGGUAAUAC